rnacentral:rRNA from 1 species
AGCAGCCGCGGUAAUUCCAGCUCCAAUAGCGUAUAUUAAAGUUGUUGCAGUUAAAAAGCUCGUAGUUGAACCUCGGGAUCAAUGGGUCGGUCGUGCCAAUGGUAUGUACUGGCCUCAUUGGUUCUCACCUUCUAAGGAACCGUGAUGUCAUUUGUUUGAUGUUGCGGGGAAUUAGGACUGUUACCUUGAAAAAAUUAGAGUGUUUAAAGCAGGCCAACGCUUGAAUACAUUAGCAUGGAAUAAUGAAAUAGGACAUCGCAUUCUAUUUUGUUGGUUUCUAGGAUCGAUGUAAUGAUUAAUAGGGAUAGUUGGGGGCAUUAGUAUUCAAUUGUCAGAGGUGAAAUUCUUGGAUUUAUUGAAGACUAACUACUGCGAAAGCAUUUGCCAAGGAUGUUUUCAUUAAUCAAGAACGAAAGUUAGGGGAUCGAAGACGAUCAGAUACCGUCGUAGUCUUAACCAUAAACUAUGCCGACUAGGGAUCGGAUGAUGUUGAUUUUUAAUGA